UGGUCUUUUCUCUUGUCACUCUCUCAGUCAGCACAGUCUCCAUUGUGUGUGUCGAAACUGAUUUUGGAAGUGGUCUGAUGGGCUCCCAGCCAAAUCAAACGAGUGCUGUUGACAGUUAUCCUCUGGACGGUUCUAUCGAUAAUUUGUGAACAAGAAUUAUCCUAUCAGAGAUUCUUUUGACUUUAUUUUUGUUGGGAUUCUGUGUCUUUCUUGGAAAGGUGAAAACGCAGUUCUCUCUCCAGCACGUGCUUUGCAUAUUAUCUCUGUGUGGUUGUGCUCUGAUUAUCUGUAACUGUGGACUGGUGCUUCCAGUUUUGUGACUCGGUUGUUGUUUUGUUUUUCUCUGCUGUGUGUGCCUCACCAACUCAAUUUUGUGAUGAGUGGGGGCUGCUGAUAUUUUGGCUGCCGUUCUCUCCGUCAUUCCAUGAAUGAGACGUUGGGCCACGUUGAAAAUUCGUUCAUUUGGGCUCUCAUUAUCUUCUCCCGAGUCGACCUGGAUGACAACAACAACCUGCUCAAGAUGAAGUAAAUAGCAUCUCAUUGCAUUGGAACGCAAUCGACUGCAUUGCCAAUCGAGUUACGGAUCUCUCUCUCAUGUCUUCGUGUAUGCCCAUGUGAAUGUGGGUGUAUUCACGAGGACAUCCCGUCUGGUGUAAUUGAACUCUUCGACUUCGGCGGAUGGAUGGAGCAACUGACGUAGAUGCCUGGCUGUAUUUCCCAGGCAUAAAGACAGUCGGAUGAUAAAAGGGAAGAGCCCAGAUUUCGACUGUUUGGGGCUGUCGGUCGCCAGUUUGAAUGGAAAGGCGGAUUGGCGCGCAUGGCGACGCCUUGUUGACAUCACAAGCCAACGGGAAAACGAGUUGCCGGCCAAUUCAAUUCAAGUGAAAAUGAGAAAACGACGGGCUCCAGCAAUGCCAAAAGACGGCCAGGACAAUCGGCACGCUGAUUGCGAUGCAACACACACUCAGGUUGAACGUUCGGUCACCACACCGUGAUUCCCUCUACCAGACCCGUUCAGUUCCUCCUGGGAAAAAAAAAAAGGUUAGAAGACUUUUUUUUUCGAAAUUUUAUCGUUUGUUUUUCUUCUUCUUUUUUUUUGGAAUUAAUCCCGCGGGAUAUUUUUACUAGGGUUUCCGUGUAAUCUGUUUAUUUUUAUAAAAAAAAGGUCGCCGCCGAAUUUUG